AGUGGGAUAGCUGAGUCAAAUGGUGGUUUUAUUCCAAGUUUUCUGAGGAAUCACAAUACUGCUUUCCAGAGUGGUUGCACCAAUUUGCAGUCCCACCAGCAAU
rnacentral:pre_miRNA from 1 species